GAAUUCGCCCUUAGAGUUUGAUCCUGGCUCAGGACGAACGCUGGCGGCGCGCCUAACACAUGCAAGUCGAACGAGAGAUGAGGAGCUUGCUCUUCAAAUCGAGUGGCGAACGGGUGAGUAACGCGCGAGGAACCUGCCUCAAAGAGGGGGACAACAGUUGGAAACGACUGCUAAUACCGCAUAAGCCCACGGCUCGGCAUCGAGCAGAGGGAAAAGGAGCAAUCCGCUUUGAGAUGGCCUCGCGUCCGAUUAGCUAGUUGGUGAGGUAACGGCCCACCAAGGCGACGAUCGGUAGCCGGACUGAGAGGUUGAACGGCCACAUUGGGACUGAGACACGGCCCAGACUCCUACGGGAGGCAGCAGUGGGGAAUAUUGCACAAUGGGGGAAACCCUGAUGCAGCGACGCCGCGUGGAGGAAGAAGGUCUUCGGAUUGUAAACUCCUGUUGUUGAGGAAGAUAAUGACGGUACUCAACAAGGAAGUGACGGCUAACUACGUGCCAGCAGCCGCGGUAAAACGUAGGUCACAAGCGUUGUCCGGAAUUACUGGGUGUAAAGGGAGCGCAGGCGGGAGAACAAGUUGGAAGUGAAAUCCAUGGGCUCAACCCAUGAACUGCUUUCAAAACUGUUUUUCUUGAGUAGUGCAGAGGUAGGCGGAAUUCCCGGUGUAGCGGUGGAAUGCGUAGAUAUCGGGAGGAGCACCAGUGGCGAAGGCGGCCUACUGGGCACCAACUGACGCUGAGGCUCGAAAGUGUGGGUAGCAAACAGGAUUAGAUACCCUGGUAGUCCACACCGUAAACGAUGAUUACUAGGUGUUGGAGGAUUGACCCCUUCAGUGCCGCAGUUAACACAAUAAGUAAUCCACCUGGGGAGUACGACCGCAAGGUUGAAACUCAAAGGAAUUGACGGGGGCCCGCACAAGCAGUGGAGUAUGUGGUUUAAUUCGACGCAACGCGAAGAACCUUACCAAGUCUUGACAUCCCUUGACGAUACUGGAAACAGUAUUUCUCUUCGGAGCAAGGAGACAGGUGGUGCAUGGUUGUCGUCAGCUCGUGUCGUGAGAUGUUGGGUUAAGUCCCGCAACGAGCGCAACCCUUAUUGCCAGUUACUACGUUAAGAGGACUCUGGCGAGACUGCCGUUGACAAAAUGGAGGAAGGUGGGGAUGACGUCAAAUCAUCAUGCCCCUUAUGACCAGGGCUACACACGUGCUACAAUGGCGUAAACAAAGGGAAGCAGAGCCGCGAGGCCGAGCAAAUCUCAAAAAUAACGUCUCAGUUCGGAUUGUAGUCUGCAACUCGACUACAUGAAGCUGGAAUCGCUAGUAAUCGCAGAUCAGAAUGCUGCGGUGAAUACGUUCCCGGGUCUUGCACACACCGCCCGUCA
rnacentral:rRNA from 1 species